AAACCUCCUCCUCCUCCUCCCCCGAAAGCCGCGACCGAGUGGCCCGGUCCGCGCGCGCAGCUCGCGCCCAGCCCUCUCCAGCCCGGGUGGCGGCGGCGGCGGCGGCGGCGGCGGCGGCGGAGGGGUGCGGCGGGGGAGGGGAGGAGGCCUGGCCCCGCGGUCGCAGCCGCCACCGCCCGCCCCGACCUCCCGGACCGCAGCGGGGCCACGGGCCCGAGCCCCGGAUUCGCGCUCCGGAUUCGCCUCGGCUCGGCCGCGCGUAUAUUUGCCUUCCCUCCAUGAUCUCCAACACUAUCCGAUAAAGUAGAAGCAACUGAGGUACCGUGAAAGAGAAAGGAGCUGGAGCUGAGAAAAAGCAGAGAGUCUUGCUUUGUCACCCAGGCUUGGAGUGCAGUGGCAUGAUCUCAGCUCACUGCAACAGCUGCCUCCCAGGCUCAAGCGACAAGCGAUCCUCCCACCUCAGCUUCUGGAGUAGCUGGGGCUACAAGCACAGGGGCCACCAUGCCCAGCUGUAGAUCUUCGAUUGAUCACUGUGAUAGAAACUGAAUAAUCCCAUACAAAAUGGCAAAAACCAAACUUUUUCCCAUUUGACAUUGCUUUUUAACAAUUUCUUAAUAGUUUUCUGUUGGCUGGCCAGCUAGGAGUAUCUUGCUUUUCAUCUGUUUUCAAGCCCCAGUUGUUCCAGCAGAAUUGCACACUUUUCCCAGCUGAUUAUCUAUCCGUUAGGUUAUAAAUUUGUCAUGGGAAAUGCUAACCCACACUAACUUCCUCUUACCCCUUCACUUGCUCUUGGGCCCUUUCACCAUCUAGCACUCCAGUCUGUAAAGGAAAAUAUUUUUUUUUUCUUUUCUUUUUUUUUUGGAGACGGAGUCUUGCCCUGUCACCCAGGCUGGAAUGCAGUGGUGUGAUCUCAGCUCACUGCAACCUCUGUCUCCCGGGUUCAAGCGAUUCUCCUGCCUUAGCCUUCCAAGUAGCUGGGAUUAUAGGAGCUCGCCACCAAGCCCGGCUAAUUUUUGUAUUUUUAGUAGGGACGGGGUUUCACCAUGUUGGCCAGGCUGGUCUCGAACUCCUGACCUGAAGUGAUCCACCCGCCUCGGCCUCCCAAAGUGUUGGGAUUAUAGGCAUGAGCCACCGCACUCGACUGAGAAUCAUUUUUAUUUCAGACUGAAUGAGAUAUAAUUUGUACAUUAAAAAUCAACUUAUUCUAUAUUCCAAAACUGUAGAACUCCUAAAAUGUAUCCCAGAGUCAAUAAUAAAGUUAUCUACUCACUUCAUUAGAGGAAGAGUUUGAGCUUUGGUGUCAGAAAGGCAGCACCUGGAAUCCAAGCUCUGCCACUUAAUAACUAUGACCCUGGGCAAGCUAUUUAUCCCUCAAGUCUCAGCUCUUUCGUCUGUAAAACGGUGUAUUAAUGCCUGUCUCAAAGAGUUGUGGUGAGGGUUAAAUGAGCUAACUUACAUAAAGCACUGGCUGUAAUAAGGUACUCAAUAAUUGGUAGCUGCAUUCUAAACCAUCAAGUUUACUGUUAGCCACUUCUCUCUUCAGAGAUUCACUUAAGAUGAUUGCAAGGUGAGAAGAUUCACAACCUGAGUUAUGAGCUUAAGCACCUUAAAAUCCUUUAGGAGCAAAGGACUGACUUUUGUUACUCUUCUUCCAGUAGUUGGCCCCAUUCCCUUGCUUUCCAUCACUGUAUAAAGAAGCUCAAUUCUGGCAUGAUAUGAAACAAAUCAUAUUUUACUUGACUCAAAAACUUCUCCUAAUGGAGGAAUAAACACUAUUGUUAGGUUGGAAACUGAAUGUUAGUCACAGAUACGGUCUAUAAUUUUCUAAUCAUGACAGAUGUUACCUGGAUGCUGAAAAAUGCCGAAUCUCAAAAUCCUGAGGGGAGGAUUCAUUACUAAAUAAAGAAUGGCUAGCACAAGGAAUGGGAAAGAAAACUAAGGUUUUCUGAGUGUCUUUUCCAAGGACUCUUUAUAGUGCUGGGCAGGUUCCCAUUCCUUAUUUAAUCUUCUCAACAACACUAUAAGGUAGCAUCUUUUUAGGGUGACCAUGUCCUGGGUCUUGCCUGUUGCCCUACUGUCAUCUUACUUUCUAUUAUCUGUAUUUUAUGGUUGAAGAAAUGGAAUCCAAAGGAAGGUAUUUAAAUAUUCUGUGCAUGGUUAUAAAGCCAGAACAUUCCUCCUUUCUGCAGUUAGAUUUCUUCUAAGAAUAUCCCAUGCAUACCUUGUCCAACUGCAGCCUGGCUUCUUUAACAAAGCCACCGUGACCUGCUGUUUGCUGAAUGCAUGGUCGCUCAGGUCUUCAUCUUACGUGACCUCUGUGCAGCACUUUAUACUGUUGGCCGCUCCCCUCUCUUCUGUGCUCUCUCUUUGGCUUCUGUGGCAACAUUUCCCGCUUGGCCUCUUUCACCCUCUAGCUCUUCCUUUGUGGUGUCCUUUUCUCCUCCCCAAACCUCUGUGUAGAUUACACUUCGCCCUUAAGGGGAUCUGAUCCUUGACUGGCUACAGCUGCUAUCUGCCAAUAAUUCCCACACCUAUAACGCUAGCCCAGAGCUGUCUUUCAGGAUCCAGUCCUAUAUAUCCAAUAAGAUUGGGACAUGUGCCUGCGUGCCCGAGUUACCUCAUACAGCUAACUAAAAAUUCAUCACUUUCCUUCCCAAAGUCCUCUUCCAGCAGUUCCUUUUUCUGCCAGCGGACUCACCAUCCUCCCAGUCAUCCAGGUGAGACACAGGUGUCAUCCUUGACUCCUCCCUUUGCCUUAGACCCCUACCCAAAUUAUCAAGUCCUGCAAUUCUCUCUUAACUUCAUUUCAUCUCCGAUCUCCACUGCCACUAACCUAGUUUUGGCUGCCUUUGGAUCUCAUCUGGACUACUGCAUUAGCGCCAGUCUCUCUCUCUCCACUUUCUCUCCCUCAUUUCCUUCUCUCUUGACAUUGUAGUCAAGUCACCUUUUGAAAAUGCAAAUCUGAUCAUGUGAUUCUCUUUAUAAAACCCUUAACUCUGGGCCAGGUGCAGUGGCUCAUGCCUGUAAUCCCAGCACUGUGGGAGGCCCAGACGGGCGGAUCAUGAGGUCAGGAGUUCAAGACCAGCCUGGCCAACAUGAUGAAACCCCGUCUCUACAAAAACUACAAAAAUUAGCCAGGUGUGGUGGUGCACGCCUGUAAUCCCAGCUACUCGGGAGGCUGAGGCAGGAUAAUUGCUUGAACCCGAGAGGCGAAGGUUGCAGUGAGCCAAGAUCAUGCCAUUACACUCCAGCCUGGGCAACAAGAGCAAGACUCCAUCUCAAAAACAAAACAAAAAACACUUA